UGACCCUUGAAAUCAGUCCCGUGAGGCUGAUAAGGGUGGUUGUUUAACACUGGAUAACCAUCUCCUUAUCAGUCUGUGGCUGGUAAGGAGUUUUUUUGU
rfam:Halothermothrix orenii H 168, complete genome.